rnacentral:rRNA from 1 species
GAUGAACGCUGGCGGCGUGCCUAAUACAUGCAAGUCGAGCGAACAGACGAGGAGCUUGUUCCUUUGACGUUAGCGGCGGACGGGUGAGUAACACGUGGAUAACCUACCUAUAAGACUGGGAUAAUUUCGGGAAACCGGAGCUAAUACCGGAUAACAUGUUGAACCGCAUGGUUCAACAGUGAAAGACGGUCUUGCUGUCACUUAUAGAUGGAUCCGGGCCGGAUUAGCUAGUUGGUAAGGUAACGGCUUACCAAGGCAACGAUGCGUAGCCGACCUGAGAGGAUGAUCGGCCACACUGGAACUGAGACACGGUCCAGACUCCUACGGGAGGCAGCAGUAGGGAAUCUUCCGCAAUGGGCGAAAGCCUGACGGAGCAACGCCGCGUGAGUGAAGAAGGUCUUCGGAUCGUAAAGCUCUGUUAUUAGGGAAGAACAAAUGUGUAAGUAACUAUGCACGUCUUGACGGUACCUAAUCAGAAAGCCACGGCUAACUACGUG